rnacentral:rRNA from 1 species
GGCCUACCAUGGUGGUAACGGGUAACGGGGUGUUAGGGCACGACACCGGAGAGGGAGCCUGAGAAACGGCUACCACAUCUAAGGAUGGCAGCAGGCGCGCAAAUUACCCAAUCCCGACACGGGGAGGUAGUGACAAUAAAUAACAAUACGGGGUUCUUUAGGAUCUCGUAAUUGGAGUGAGUACAAUUUAAAUCUCUUAACGAGGAACAAUUGGAGGGCAAGUCUGGUGCCAGCAGCCGCGGUAAUUCCAGCUCCAAUAGCGUAUAUUAAAGUUGUUGCAGUUAAAAAGCUCGUAGUUGAAUUUCGGGGUUAGUAAGUUGGUCAUGCCUUUGGUAUGCACUGGCUUUACUGAUUCCUCCUUCUUGACGAACCGUGAUGUCAUUAAUUUGGUGUUGCGGGAAAUCAGGACUGUUACUUUGAAAAAAUUAGAGUGUUUAAAGCAGGCUAACGCUUGAAUACAUUAGCAUGGAAUAAUGAAAUAGGACGUUAAUCCUAUUUUGUUGGUUUCUAGGAUCGACGUAAUGAUUAAUAGGGAUAGUUGGGGGCAUUAGUAUUCAAUUGUCAGAGGUGAAAUUCUUGGAUUUAUUGAAGACUAACUACUGCGAAAGCAUUUGCCAAGGAUGUUUUCAUUAAUCAAGAACGAAAGUUAGGGGAUCGAAGACGAUCAGAUACCGUCGUAGUCUUAACCAUAAACUAUGCCGACUAGGGAUCGGAUGAUGUUAAUUCUUUAAUGACUCAUUCGGCGCCUUACG